rnacentral:rRNA from 1 species
CCUACGGGUGGCAGCAGUGGGGAAUAUUGGACAAUGGGCGAAAGCCUGAUCCAGCCAUGCCGCGUGUGUGAAGAAGGCCUUCGGGUUGUAAAGCACUUUCAGUGGGGAAGAAAGCCUUGGGGCUAAUACCCUCGAGGAAGGACAUCACCCACAGAAGAAGCACCGGCUAACUCCGUGCCAGCAGCCGCGGUAAUACGGAGGGUGCGAGCGUUAAUCGGAAUUACUGGGCGUAAAGCGCGCGUAGGCGGUCUGAUAAGCCGGUUGUGAAAGCCCCGGGCUCAACCUGGGAACGGCAUCCGGAACUGUCAGGCUAGAGUGCAGGAGAGGAAGGUAGAAUUCCCGGUGUAGCGGUGAAAUGCGUAGAGAUCGGGAGGAAUACCAGUGGCGAAGGCGGCCUUCUGGACUGACACUACGCUGAGGUGCGAAAGCGUGGGUAGCAAACAGGAUUAGAUACCCCUGUAGUC